AUUGAACGCUGGCGGCAUGCCUAACACAUGCAAGUCGAACGGUAACGCGGGGGCAACCCUGGCGACGAGUGGCGGACGGGUGAGUAAUACGUAGGAAUCUGCCCAUUAGUGGGGGAUAACCCGGCGAAAGCCGGGCUAAUACCGCAUACGCUCUACGGAGGAAAGCGGGGGAUCGUAAGACCUCGCGUUAAUGGAUGAGCCUACGUCGGAUUAGCUAGUUGGUAGGGUAACGGCCUACCAAGGCGACGAUCCGUAGCUGGUCUGAGAGGACGAUCAGCAACACUGGAGCUGAGACACGGCCCAGACUCCUACGGAAGGCAGCAGUGGGGAAUAUUGGACAAUGGGGGCAACCCUGAUCCAGCAAUGCGGCGUGUGUGAAGAAGGCCUGCGGGUUGUAAAGCACUUUCAGAGGGGAAGAAAAAAUCGGAGCUAACACCUCCGAGCUUGACGUUACCCUUAGAAGAAGCACCGGCUAACUCCGUGCCAGCCGCCGCGGUAAGAC
rnacentral:rRNA from 1 species